UCCCAUAAACCGUGGCUCAGUUCAGAUCGUAGGCUGCAACUCGCCUACGUGAAGGCGGAAUCGCUAGUAAUCGCAGGUCAGCAUACUGCGGUGAAUACGUUCCCGGGCCUUGUACACACCGCCCGUCACACCAUGGAAGUCGGCCACGCCCGAAGCCGUUACUCCAACCCUUGUGGAGGAGGACGUCGAAGGUGGGGCUGAUGACUGGGGUGAAGUCGUAACAAGGUAUCCGUACCGGAAGGUGCGGAUGGAUCACCUCCUAA
rnacentral:rRNA from 1 species